rnacentral:rRNA from 1 species
UACGGGGGGGGCAAGCGUUGUUCGGAAUCACUGGGCGUAAAGCGCACGUAGGCGGAUUGUUAAGUCAGGGGUGAAAUCCUGGAGCUCAACUCCAGAACUGCCUUUGAUACUGGCGAUCUUGAGUCCGGGAGAGGUGAGUGGAACUGCGAGUGUAGAGGUGAAAUUCGUAGAUAUUCGCAAGAACACCAGUGGCGAAGGCGGCUCACUGGCCCGGUACUGACGCUGAGGUGCGAAAGCGUGGGGAGCAAACGGG